GAAAUUAUUCUGCUUGUAGAUUUGGAUUUCUGGGACCAAAAUACGAAGGAAUAUCAUGGAAAACUCCUUCAAAAAAAUUCGGAAUCAUCAUCUCACAUUUUGAGAAAACUCCAAGGCUAUAGGCUUACUGUUUUUUCGGGCUAAAAGGUGAAAUAAUUGCCAGAAUAAUUCCAGGACGCUGAUCCUUUGUAAAAAUGCGCAACGAACACGACGCCGUCGAUCAAAUUGAUCUGGCAUCAAAUCCCAACGAUUUGGAUUCUUGAGACCAAAAUACAUACAACUAACAUAGAAAUUCUCAUAGAUGAAAUUCUCAACAGAUACUCCAAACAGAUGUUUCUCGACUUGGUGCCUCAUCACGUGCAUGCCUCCAUUCUCGUGUAAUAAAUCAUACUUUUACAGGGUAUGAUGACGACAUCAGCUAGUCGCAUGCUGGGCUGAUCGUAUGCAAUCAUAUGUAUUUAAUCCUACUCCUAUUAAUACAUGUAUUACAAUCA
rnacentral:lncRNA from 1 species